rnacentral:rRNA from 1 species
GAUGAACGCUAGCGGCAGGCUUAAUACAUGCAAGGCGAGGGGGCAGCAAUGUCACCGUCGUACGGGUGCGUAACGCGUAUGCAACCUACCUAUCACUGGGGGAUAGCCCGGGGGAAACCCGGAUUAAUACCGCAUAAUACAGGGGGCCCACAUGGGUCUAUUUGUUAAAGAUUUAUCGGUGGUAGAUGGGCAUGCGUUCG